AAUGAACGCUAGCGAUAGGCUUAACACAUGCAAGUCAAACAAAAAUCUAUACUAUAGGUAUUUUGUGGCGAACGGGUGAGUAACACGUAAGAAUCUGCCUCACAAUUUAAGUAAAUCUUAAAUAUCCCAAAAGGUAUAAUUCCGUUGUGAGAUGAGCUUGCGGAGGAUUAGGUAGUUGGUAGGAUAAUAGCCUACCAAGCCAAAGAUCCUUAGCUGAUCUGAGAGGAUGAUCAGCCACACUGGGACUGAGACACGGCCCAGACGCUUUCGAGCGGCAGCAGUGAGGAAUUUUGGACAAUGGGCGCAAGCCUGAUCCAGCUAUAUCGCGUGAGUGAAGGAGGCUGUAUUGGUUGUAAAAC
rnacentral:rRNA from 1 species